CCUACGUGUGGCUGCAGUGGGGAAUAUUGCACAAUGGAGGAAACCCUGAUGCAGCAACGCCGCGUGAGUGAAGAAGUAUUUCGGUAUGUAAAGCUCUAUCAUUAGGGACGAAGAAAGACCGUACCUGACUAAGAAGCCCCGGCUAACUACGUGCCAGCAGCCGCGGUAAUACGUCGGGGGCAAGCGUUAUCCGGAUUUACUGGUUGUAAAGGGGGCGUUGACGGAUGUGCAAGUCUGAAGUGAAAGCCCGUGGCUCAACCGCGGAACUGCGUGGGAAACUGUAUAGCUUGAGUACUGGAGAGGCAGGCGGAAUUCCGAGUGUAGCGGGGAAAUGCGUAGAUAGUAGGAGGAACACCAGUGGCGAAGGCGGCCAGCUGGACAGAAACUGACGUUGAGGCACGAAAGCGUGGGGAGCAAACAGGAUGAGAUACCCGAGUAGUC
rnacentral:rRNA from 1 species